rnacentral:rRNA from 1 species
GUAGUUGAACCUUGGGCCUGGCUGGCCGGUCCGCCUCACCGCGUGCACUGGUCCGGCCGGGCCUUUCCCUCUGGGGAACCGCAUGCCCUUCACUGGGUGUGUCGGGGAACCAGGACUUUUACUUUGAACAAAUUAGAUCGCUUAAAGAAGGCCUAUGCUCGAAUACAUUAGCAUGGAAUAAUAGAAUAGGACGUGUGGUUCUAUUUUGUUGGUUUCUAGGACCGCCGUAAUGAUUAAUAGGGACAGUCGGGGGCAUCAGUAUUCAAUUGUCAGAGGUGAAAUUCUUGGAUUUAUUGAAGACUAACUACUGCGAAAGCAUUUGCCAAGGAUGUUUUCAUUAAUCAGGAACGAAAGUUAGGGGAUCGAAGACGAUCAGAUACCGUCGUAGUCUUAACCAUAAACUAUGCCGACUAGGGAUCGGACGAUGUUAUAUUUUGACUCGUUCGGCACCUUACACGAAAGUAAAGUUUCUGGGUUCUGGGGGGAGUAUGGUCGCAAGGCUGAAACUUAAA